rnacentral:rRNA from 1 species
ACAAAAAUGCACAUGCUGUGAGCUCGAUGAGUAGGGCGGGACACGUGGUAUCCUGUCUGAAUAUGGGGGGACCAUCCUCCAAGGCUAAAUACUCCUGACUGACCGAUAGUGAACCAGUACCGUGAGGGAAAGGCGAAAAGAACCCCGGCGAGGGGAGUGAAAAAGAACCUGAAACCGUGUACGUACAAGCAGUGGGAGCACAGAGCAAUCUGUGUGACUGCGUACCUUUUGUAUAAUGGGUCAGCGACUUAUAUUCUGUAGCAAGGUUAACCGAAUAGGGGAGCCGAAGGGAAACCGAGUCUUAACCGGGCGUUAAGUUGCAGGGUAUAGACCCGAAACCCGGUGAUCUAGCCAUGGGCAGGUUGAAGGUUGGGUAACACUAACUGGAGGACCGAACCGACUAAUGUUGAAAAAUUAGCGGAUGACUUGUGGCUGGGGGUGAAAGGCCAAUCAAACCGGGAGAUAGCUGGUUCUCCCCGAAAGCUAUUUAGGUAGCGCCUCGUGAAUUCAUCUCCGGGGGUAGAGCACUGUUUCGGCAAGGGGGUCAUCCCGACUUACCAACCCGAUGCAAACUGCGAAUACCGGAGAAUGUUAUCACGGGAGACACACGGCGGGUGCUAACGUCCGUCGUGAAGAGGGAAACAACCCAGACCGCCAGCUAAGGUCCCAAAGUCAUGGUUAAGUGGGAAACGAUGUGGGAAGGCCCAGACAGCCAGGAUGUUGGCUUAGAAGCAGCCAUCAUUUAAAGAAAGCGUAAUAGCUCACUGGUCGAGUCGGCCUGCGCGGAAGAUGUAACGGGGCUAAACCAUGCACCGAAGCUGCGGCAGCGACACUGUGUGUUGUUGGGUAGGGGAGCGU